rnacentral:rRNA from 1 species
CAGCCGCCACGGUAAUACGAGGGGGGCUAGCGUUGCUCGGAAUGACUGGGCGUAAAGGGCGCGUAGGCGGCAUACACAGUCAGAUGUGAAAUUCCUGGGCUUAACCUGGGGGCUGCAUUUGAUACGUGUAGGCUAGAGUGGGGAAGAGGGUUGUGGAAUUCCCAGUGUAGAGGUGAAAUUCGUAGAUAUCGGAAGGAACACCUGUGGCGAAAGCGGCUCACUGGACCAUUUCUGACGCUGAUGCACGAAAGCUAGGGGAGCAAACAGGAUUAGAUACCCGCGUAGUCCCUGUCUCUUAUAC